UUGAGGGAGAGAGUGAGGAUUUUGGGCUUUCUUAUUGGGCCUAGUUCAUUUUAUUUGUUGGGCCGGAGAUUAAUUCAUUGGGUCAUCUUUUGGGCUUUCUUUUUGGGCCGAAUUUAUUUAAUGUUCUUGGGCUGGAAUUUAUUUAAUUUUAUUGGGCCUGUUUCAGAUUUGUUUAGUUCAGCCCAGCUAUUAAUUCGUCAUUUGAGCCGAUUAAAUUGUCUAUUGGACUAAGAUUAAUUCUUUCCAGUUCACAUUAAUUAUUAUUUGGACUCCUAUUAUUUAAUAAUAAUGGGUCUCGAAUUUAUAUUAUUUGGGCUCCUACAAUUUAAUUGAUUAAGUCCAAUGAAAUUUAUUUAGUUAAGCCCAAUGAGACUUAUUAAUUUAGGCCCCACUAUUAAUCCUAAUUAUAUUUAAUUAGUGAUUUUUUUAUAAGUAAGUUAGACUAAUUCAAGAUGAGUAGAUUAUUAAGAUUUACUAUCUGAUUUCAUAAAACGAGCUUUAAUCCUAUAGUUGGAUUAUUAUUAGAAAUUUCUCGGUUUAUUAUCUCAGAAUAAUAAUUAACGGAAUAAGAGUCAUGCAUAGUUAUUUUAUGCAUUCGCAUUUAUUUGAGAAUUUCCCUCGAAUUAAAAUCUUGUUUAUUUUCUCGUAUUAAAGGUCAAGCACAAGAGUUUAAGGCUUAGUCGUGAGUCUCGACUACCAGGUUGAGCUGUGAUGGAUGAUGAAGUGUUGCUGAGUGGAGCUUUUGUCAAUUUGAAAUUAGGCUCAGAAAAGAUAUAUGUCUGCAUACAUGUAUCUCAGUUAUGUCUUCCGCUGCAAACACUGAUUAUGUUUUAGUCAAGUCUAUAACUAUGUGAAUUACUCUUCAAAGAAAUAUCUAAUGCUUACUCGGGUUCAUCGAGUAUCCUUUUUAA